AGAAACUGAAAUUGGUGACAUGAUCCUGUAGAUUGUCAAUCUCAAACAAAAAGAUGAACAAAGGAAUUGAUCUGCCCUGUUCUGGGCUUCUGAAUUCUAGGAGGACUCUUCAGUGAACUUUGUUACCUUUGUCCAGCAAAACCUAAAACCAGACUUAACCUGUACAUUUGCACAAACCCUGCGGUUUGCAGAUCUGCCAAGUCACACUCACUCAGAGUGAUCAUUAUGUUGCUG